ACAUGAUAGUCUUUGCGUUUACAAACAUUCAGCUUAAUUUUGGGGUAAAGGGGUUUGGAAAAUAUCAUAAUAUAUAUAUAUAUAUACAGACGAAAGUGGUUAAAUUGAAGACAAACUACAACCAGUUACCAAAAGUGUUUGAUGAUUACAUAAUAAUUCGAAAUUAGAAAUGCACAGCAACUUACAUCUGUCGUCCUCAUCGAGAAAUAUGCAGCUGAUCAGAAUCGCACCAAGUAUGCCCAGCAGCUAAAGGGGAAAGAGAGGGGCAUUACGCGCACUGUGCGCCCGAGUGUAUGACCUCGACGAGCGGAUAGUCCAAUAGACAGUCCUCGACACGUUCCGGGCGCAGGGGCCGAUACGGAUCGUCCGAGGUGAUGUUGUAGGUGGGCUUGCAGCCGUAGCCAUUCGCCUCGAACCAGGAAACGCUGCCAGUGCCCAUAUUGAGCAGAUCGCUAUCCUGUAAAGCGAACAAGAUAAUAGAAUAGUAUAUCAAAUUGUUCACAUCGAUAAGAUUAAAUUAUUAUCAGUA